UGCGCCAUCGACCGAGAUCCGAAUCGCACAUACGAGUGAAACGGUUGAAUACGCAUCGCUGCGUAUGAAUUUCACAUGGCACUACGUAUUGCGCUGUAUCAACUGAUCAACAUCGAUCGUCGUAGAUCCGUGAUCUGAGAAGUAACGCUUUCGCAGAGCUUGUGAAUUUGCCAUCCGUUCGGAUCGUUUACGCCACAAUUGCCACAAAGGAAUAUCAAAAAAUCACCAUACUGAUGAUUUUCGCGUUUAAACGGAUUAAUCGAGUGGAUUUUACAUGUUCUACAUUUUAC